rfam:Delftia acidovorans SPH-1, complete genome.
GCAGAGCAGCGGCCCAUGCCCGCUGGUGCUUGUGCCGGUCUGCCCCGCAGGUCGGGCAGACAUCAUCGGC